UACGUAGGGAGCAAGCGUUGUCCGGAAUCAUUGGGCGUAAAGCGCGCGUAGGUGGCCCCGUAAGUCCGCUGUGAAAGUCAAAGGCUCAACCUUUGAAAGCCGGUGGAUACUGUGGGGCUAGAGUACGGAAGAGGCGAGUGGAAUUCCUGGUGUAGCGGUGGAGUGCGCAGAUAUCAGGAGGAACACCAAUAGCGAAGGCAGCUCGCUGGGACGUUACUGACACUGAGGCGCGAAAGCGUGGGGAGCGAACAGG
rnacentral:rRNA from 1 species